GAUGAACGCUGGCGGCGUGGCUAAGGCAUGCAAGUCGUAAGCUAAUAGCAAUAUUGGCUUGGCAAACGGGAGCGGAACACAUUGGUAAUCUGCCCCGAGGACGAGGAUAAUCCUGCGAAAGUGGGAAUAAUACUCGAUAGUAGUGAGGGGACAAAAGUCAUUCUCACUUAAAGCAGCAAUGCACCUCGGGAGGAACCUAUGUCCUAUCAGCUAGUUGGUGAGGUAAUGGCUCACCAAGGCUAUGACGGGUACCGGGUGUGAGAGCAUGACCCGGCUCACUGGGACUGAGACACUGCCCAGACUCCUACGGGAGGCUGCAGUCACGAAUCUUCCUCAAUGGCCGAAAGGCUGAAGGAGCGACGCCGCGUGUAUGAAGAAACCCUUCGGGGUGUAAAGUACUUUUAUCUGGGAAGAAUCCAUGACGGUACCAGAUGAAUAAGGAGCUGCUAACCUCGUGCCAGCAGCCGCGGUAAGUCUCGCG
rnacentral:rRNA from 1 species